UUUUUUUUUAAUUCUCUUUGCUCUGAGACAUUUUUGAAACCAAAAGCAGCUGAAAAACUGGUAGUGUUUGCAGAUUAUUUUAAAGAAUAAAUAAAAAGAGGUAAGCCGUCUUUAGCAAUGUUAUCUAUGUUUAUGGCACAUAUUUAAAUUUUCUCAGGCAGAAACUGUAGAAGUUAGAAAAGAUAGGUGUUUUUAUUCUCAUUGACAGGUAAGAAUUGAGGUCCAGAGAUGCUACAGGAUUUGACUAAGAUGACUGAAGAAAGUUCAGCAAUAAAAUCUGCACUGAGACCAAGGUUCCCUGCCUCCUAGCUCUGUUUAUCCAGGCUAUCUACUUAAGUCUUUCCAGACUUACUGAAAUCAACUUUAUGUCAUAACAAUAUAUACCUGGAAAACAUAGGGACCGCUCCUCUCAAUUUGUAUAAUGCCCACACUUAGUCCAUAAUCUGGAAACUAAGAAAUCUAGAGGCACAAUUUUAGAAGAGAAAAAAAUUCUAUCCCCUUAGGAAGUAUUUUUACACUGAAAAAAACUAACCUAAUAUUUUAGGAAAAUGUAAAUAGAUUCCUGAAAUUCCACUGCCAAAAAUUUAAUGAGGCUUACAGUUUUAUGGACAAAUUUACGUUAAAAACUGUGAUCUGAAAAUCAAACAAAGGAGUAGGGUGUAAAAGAAAACCAUGCCACUAGAAUCAUUAGAUUUUCUCUUUUCAUAAACAAAAUAAUGCUUAAGCGAAAGCUUAUCAUUUUAUUCAGAGGAAGUCAGAAAAGGGGCAUUAAAACAGUUGGACAACUAGAAACAUAAAGUGAGAUGGUAGAAGAUAACAGCAAUAUAGACAUCACAAUAAAUGUAAAUAGCUUAAACAGUCAUACAUGUAUAUGUGUGUACAUAUAUAUAAUUUUUGUAUAUAUGUAUAUAUAAUUUAUAUAUCUUUGAUGGAACUACAAUAAGAAAAUGACAGUUCCACCAUCACGGCGGGAGUUUUUAAUACACACUAAAGUGUCAGUUAGGAAUUAACAGGUAAAGAAAUCAAGACAUUAAAGAUUCUGGAUAUUAGUCCUUUGUCAGAUGAGUAGGUUGCGAAAAUUUUCUCCCAUUUUGUAGGUUGCCUGUUCACUCUGAUGGUAGUUUCUUUUGCUGUGCAGAAGCUCUUUAGUUUAAUUAGAUUCCAUUUGUCAAUUUUGGCUUUUGUUGCCAUUGCUUUUGGUGUUUUAGACAUGAAGUCCUUGCCCAUGCCUAUGUCCUGAAUGGUAAUGCCUAGGUUUUCUU
rnacentral:lncRNA from 1 species